rnacentral:misc_RNA from 1 species
AGUCGGGCCGCAGCUACGUGG